ACCUCGGUGGUGGAGUAGUAGCGCGCGUCCCUGGCAUGGUUAGAACACGGGUUCGACUCCCGUCUGAGGUC